UUGUACUUUAUUUCCUCUGUCCAGAUCAGGCAUUUCUAGUGGCAGACGUCUAUUUGGUGUCAUUCGAUGGACAUCUGUUCAAACUCCCAGCUUCCUGUGACUUCCUCCUAGCAGCCGAUGUCAUCCAGCACACCUUCAGCAUUGCGCUCAAAUCCGACAGGUUCAAACGUCGCUCGCUUGUGGUGCAAAUGCAAAACACAAAGAUUGCAAUUCACCCAAAUGGAGAGGUGGAGGUUAAUUGCCACGUUGCACAUAUUCCAUACACUAACCGUGAAGUGGCUAUCAGAAAGGAUGUGAAUUUAAUUGAGGUGUCCAAUGAGAGAGGACUUCAGGUAUCAUGUGACCCUCAUCUAGACGUUUGUAGUGUGAUCCUAGAUGGAUGGCUUCAUGGUGUGUCCACUGGUCUUUUAGGAACCAAUGAUAAUGAGGCAGCUAACGAGCUUCCUCUGCCAGAUGGCUCUCACACACACAGUGUGCUUCAGUUUACUCACAGCUGGCAGGUGGAUUCAGAAUGUGUCAGCAGGAAAGCUGAAGUCUGUCAGAAUGGCACUGCUGACUCCCUGUCGUGCACAUUUCUGUUCUCCUCCACAAAUUCUCCUCUGAGCCCCUGUUUCAGAGUGGUGGACCCUGCGCAGUUCAUGAUGAAGUGUGUAUGUGAUGAGCGCGCAGAUGUUUCCAGACCAUCCUUUUGCACAUUGGCCUCUGCCUAUAUCCAUCAAUGCCAUAGAAACUACGUUCCACUGGAGCUGCCAGUGCAGUGCGGUCAGUAUUUCUGCAAAUGCAGUGAAAUCAAUAACCAUAUUUUAAAUAGAUCACCACUAG
rnacentral:lncRNA from 1 species